AUGACAACAAUCCCUCCACCACCAUCAACAACAUUCACCUCUGCUAGAAAUGAUGAAACAGGUAACAAGACUGAUCAUAACAAAACUGUGAUCAGUGAUGAAGAGGAUGGUGAUGAUGAUGUGGUGACCUAUGAAAAUACCGAAGCCCUGCCUGCUUCUGUUCAAUCCACAGAUCAAUAAAUCAGCUGGAAAAACAGAUCUGACCUGAGCAGGAAUGAACUCCAGCUUACCUUGGUACAGAAUGGAAAAAAAAGGCUUUGUUUCCUGUAUUUCUGCAUAAACUGGGACUAUAGUAAAACAAAAUAAUUUUCUUUAAGUGAGAUGGUAAUACCUUGUUCCUAGAUUUAUACAUGAAUUGUGCAGUUUGGAAUUCCACUAUGUCAAAAAAUUUGAUUAUUUUAUAAUUGAAGAAUAAUUAAUUAGUGUGUUCACAAAAACCGGCCUUAUGAAUUAUCCUUAUGGCUCUUUUCUGCAGUAUGAAUAGUGGUUGCAGUGAACUUUUAUUAGUAUUUCCCCAAACCUCUAAACAGUAACUUAGAUAAGGCAAAACCAGGGAACAGAACAGAAUGCAGAGUGAUUUGUUAUCCAGGAAUUGCUUUGCUUUGGCCAGAACUGAGAUGCCUCUAGAUACUUUGUUGUUGAUGUGUUUAAUAUGAGAUUUCCAGCAAAUCUUGUCAUCUAUAAUUACCCCAAGAAAUGUAGUUUCAUGUACUCUUUCAAUGUUUACACCCUCGAUCUGUACCUGUGCUUGAUUGUUUUUAUUGUUU